UCUUAUGCGGGUACCGGAUACCGAUUACUAGAUGAGAAACUUAAAAAAAAAAAAAAAAUUGAGAUAAAACGGUAAUCCAUUAAAUGAAAUCCGGAUUAAAAAGGAAGUUAUAUUAAUUUGAAUAGUAGUAAAAAGAGCAUUAAGGAAGACAUUUAUUAAAAUGUAACAUCGGUUUCUCAUAAAUGAGGCUAUUUCCAGACUAUAAAGGUGUUUAAACAUUUACAUUGAUGAUGAAAAAGGCAAAGCAUUCUAAAUAUGAAGACGUCAUCCAUAAAGCUGGUUCUUAGUGUGGCAUUUUUUAUUGUUGCAAUAGAUCUUCUAUGUUUUAAAGUGGAAGCUAAUGAUCUAAUGGAAUGCUAUCAUCAUGGAGAUUGUGAGUACUUGCGUGCUAUAUAUAAUUGCAAUCCUUUUUGUAACGAAGAAGUCUGUGAAUGUGGUCAAUUUGUCAAUGAAGAUCUUAGUACUACAAAUAUAGAUGACAAUCCAAAUUUACCCCCCUUUUAGUUUUCGAUUCCCCUUAUUAGCUUCCUUAUUUUUCUAAAUAGGGAACAAAUUAUAUUCUAUCCUUCUAUUUAUGAAUUUUGUAUGUAAGAAAUAGAGAAUGAUUUAUGAAUGCUUCUGGUUAUGUACGAUUAAUGUAAACCAUGUUCUCUCACAACAUUUAUUUUCAGCAAUUUUUCAUCCUAAAUUUGUAUACAUGAAAUGAAUUUGAAGAAAGAGAAUCAAAAUUAAACUAUUUGUGUGUGUGUGUGGGGGGGGGGGGGGGGGUGUUGGCGGGGUGCAGCAAUGGAACAGAGGACAUCUGUAAUGUGAAAUGAGAUAUUCAAUUUAUGAUUUCAGGGACAAAGUUAGAAUUUUGGGUUGUACACUGGUGGAUUGGAGUAGAAAGAAAAUAAGAAAUAUAUAUAGAGAUAAAUAAAAUAAGAGACAGGAGAAAAUAACGUUAUACAUCAGUUACCCAGGGAUAAAUUGGGGCGAUUCAACAGAUUUGGGGGCCUAAGGCCAAUCUCCAGGAAGAGGCCUUAAUUUUUUUUUUCUACGAAAAUACCUUAAUAUAUAAUUUUUAUUCUAUUUUUCAAUCUUUUUUAGAGAGUAGUAAAUUUCACUUUUUCCUCUUAACCUUUUAAUGUAGAAAAAUAAAAUCUCCCUCUUUUUUUGAAUGGGAAAGAAAACUCCCUUUGACCCAAAUGUCAAUCGAAAAAAUAAACACAUACUCGCCGGAAUUUACAAAGUAUCAUUACUAUCCAUUGUUUGGUUGAAAAAUAUAAGAACUUUCUGAUUGCAUGUAAAUUUGCAAAUGGAGCUUGAAAUAAUCAGCUCUGAGAUCAAAUAAAACUGUCUUAGAUUAAUUUGUUUUGUUUUAAGAAUCUCAUCGUUUGUCUAGAAGCAAACACCUAAAAUGCAAUAACAGAAAAGAACACACAAUACAGCAAAUUGGGAAAGUCAUAUAUGAUAAAAGCAAACACUUGGAACCUACCAGUAAUGUUUCUCAAACAUAGACAUUGAUGAAAAAGAACAACUUAAUCAGAUGAAUAGAUUAUAAUAAUUUAGGAAAAUCUCAGUGGAAUGAUACAACAUGCUUCCAUACCGAAGAGUGAUAAUAUAACGACAACAAAACUUUAUGAGCAGACUGUAAGCUUCCUUUUGACUAAUGUGCCGAUAACUGUUGUAGCUAAGGCUCUAAUGACAUUACACCAACAUAUGACAUAAUUUCCUAGUGAAUAACAUAUGCUUAUGGCUGUGAAAGAUUAUAGGAUGACAAAAAGAAUAACGUGUAUGAAGUCGAACCGAGUAGACGAAGAUUCCUCAAAAGAAUACGAAAGCCUGGCAACAUGAAGCACACGCUAAAUCACUGCUCCGACUUCCAUUCAGUUUGCAGUUGUCUUUGACAUCGC